CUCUUUUCCUCCUAUCGAUGUAAACAAACAGCCUGUGCCACUGGAGCAAUGUUUAUGUUAGCAAAUACCCCGAGGUACUUCACAGAAAUCAAUCUGCAGAGAAAAAUUGCAUUAGACAAUAAAAAUUCAGCAACUCCCAAACUCGAGCCCAAGCCCUACUGCAUGUCAGGGGUGAAGGGUGAGGACAGAAAUGCGGAGGCCAACGCUGUUAAUUUUUCAGAGCUUAGCUCACAGAACGCCGCCCUCUGAGCCCUGAAUUCGCGCCAGUUACAACUCGGUUCGAUCAAAUUCAAGGACAGGAGAAACUGCGGGAGAGAAAGCAAGCAGAAUUGGCUACAAGCUGCAGGAAUACGUGUUCAGAGGAAACUUCUGCAGUGGAGCGAACCGGGAGGGAACCACUCACACAAAAACCAAAUGACUUGCAGCAGAUUAAUGGCCGCUAUUUAAUAUGUUCUUGUGAACCUGCAUGGAUCGUCACAGUGGCAACUGUCCUUACACAGCCUGCUUCAUCUGUCUGCGAACUGCUCCUGGGAGGGUGUACAGCAGAAAUGAAACUUCAGAAUUUCGCUUUCGUUUGUGUAUGUUUCUCCUUCUUCUUGUUUAAUGGAUAUCUCCCAGCAGGAGCUGGUGGGACUGGUGAGUCCUUCCAAGAUCCGUCGUCUCACAACUGGGCAGCAUGAUAUGUUUCAGACAGCCACAAAGAAACCCUUCAAACCCUGGAAUAAAAUUUAUAUGAAAAGCACAUCGGUACAAAGGUACAUCUGUAUCCACAGGCAACAGUGAUUACAUCUGAUUAUUUUUAGUGUAAAUACAUUUUCAGAAUAAAAGGCACACAGCAGCUUUAAACUACUUAGCUGAACACGCUCCUCCUGCACCUGUGGGAUUUUAAUAUUCCUGUGCUUUUAACAGCAUUGCACCACAGGGAUGAGAUCAGUGACUGAUCCAUUUUACUGAGUUUGAAAAAUGUAAUUUAGGAAGGGUUAUUAUUGCAGGAAUGAAGUAGAAAUCUCGUUGGUAAUUAUACCUCUUUACAUGUUUGAAGACCAUAAAUUUUAUUUUCCUGACGCCUGAAAGAAAAUAAACUUUAACACAGAUCUUCCAAGGAAGAAACACAAACUUUUUCAGCCCACAACUUGAAUGGGUCCACCUCAAGGGGGCCAAAAAAGAGCAAACAGUAGCUGUGCAGCAGUGAUCCCAGACAGGAGGCUGCAGCAGACCAACAGUGGGUAGACUUGGCAGGGCUGGGGUGUUGCUGGUCCCAUGUGGGAGCAGAGCCACAUUCAGCAGCACCACACAAUUUUUGGGAAGCAUAAGUCAGUCAGCAUCAUCUCAGCACUUGAUAUGUAACUUCGAUAAAACUGAGAGGAGAGUUGAAUUAACCAGCGAGCAGCAAUGCAGGGACAGACUAUCAGCCACGGAGAGGUUCAAUCACUGCGCAGCUACUCGACAUGAGAGAGCCUGGUCUUUGCAGUGAAACCUCCCUGUCAGAGUGAUUCACAUCAGUUAUUCUUUCUCUUUCCUAUUUGCUGCUAUCAGAAUCCGGAAGAGUCAGCGCAUGAUCAAGUGCUUCUUUGAUCUCCCGUGUAUGUGAAGACAGAAAUAUCCAAGCUGAAGAACUGAGCCCCAUGGGUCUGACAAAGGAUUCAAUUACAACCCAUGGAAUUCAGUUCUCAAAGCUGAGGAUACACGACAUUCGUUUCAAGGCCGUUCUGAUGUGCAGCAGUAUCUCAUCCUCUGCUCUCUCUCCCCGGUGCUUGGCUUUCCUCCAGGUG
ensembl:lncRNA